CCUACGGGAGGCAGCAGUGGGGAAUAUUGGGCAAUGGGUGCAAGCCUGACCCAGCAACGCCGCGUGAAGGAAGAAGGCUUUCGGGUUGUAAACUUCUUUUGUCAGGGACGAAGCAAGUGACGGUACCUGACGAAUAAGCCACGGCUAACUACGUGCCAACAGCCGCGGUAAUACGUAGGUGGCAAGCGUUAUCCGGAUUUACUGGGUGUAAAGGGCGUGUAGGCGGGACUGCAAGUCAGAUGUGAAAACCACGGGCUCAACCUGUGGCCUGCAUUUGAUACUGUAGUUCUUGAGUGCUGGAGAGGCAGACGGAAUUCCUGGUGUAGCGGUGAAAUGCGUAGAUAUUAGGAAGAACACCAGUGGCGAAGGCGGUCUGCUGAACAGCAACUGACGCUGAGGCGCGAAAGCGUGGGGAGCAAACAGGAUUAGAUACCCUUGUAGUC
rnacentral:rRNA from 1 species